rnacentral:rRNA from 1 species
CUACGGGGGGCAGCAGUGGGGAAUAUUGGACAAUGGGCGAAAGCCUGAUCCAGCCAUGCCGCGUGUGUGAAGAAGGCCUUCGGGUUGUAAAGCACUUUCAGUGGGGAAGAAAGCCUUGGGGCUAAUACCCUCGAGGAAGGACAUCACCCACAGAAGAAGCACCGGCUAACUCCGUGCCAGCAGCCGCGGUAAUACGGAGGGUGCGAGCGUUAAUCGGAAUUACUGGGCGUAAAGCGCGCGUAGGCGGUCUGAUAAGCCGGUUGUGAAAGCCCCGGGCUCAACCUGGGAACGGCAUCCGGAACUGUCAGGCUAGAGUGCAGGAGAGGAAGGUAGAAUUCCCGGUGUAGCGGUGAAAUGCGUAGAGAUCGGGAGGAAUACCAGUGGCGAAGGCGGCCUUCUGGACUGACACUGACGCUGAGGUGCGAAAGCGUGGGUAGCAAACAGGAUUAGAUACCCGUGUUGUC